CACUCCACUGCUGCCUCACGGGGGUAAUACACUCCACUGCUGCCUCACGGGGUAAUACACUCCACUGCUGCCUCACAGGGGUAAUACACUCCACUGCUGCCUCACGGGGGUAAUACACUCCACUGCUGCCUCACGGGGGUAAUACACUCCACUGCUGCCUCACGGGGCUAAUACACUCCACUGCUACUCUACCUUCCGUGAUCCAUACAAAGCCCUUCCCCGCCAUCCCUUCGGCAAAUCUGACCACGGCGCCAUCUUGCUCCUAUGGUCUUAAAGGUAGAAACUCAAACAGGAUGUACCAGUGACUAGAACCAUUCAACGCUGGUCUGACCAAUCGGAAUCCCUCCUUCAAGAUUGUUUGAUCACGCAGACUGGGAUAUGUUCCGGUCAGCCUCAGAGAACAACAUUGAUCUAUACGCUGACUCUGUGAGUGAGUUUAUAAGGAAGUGCAUUGGAGAUGUUGUACCCACUGUGACCAUUAAAACCUACCCUAACCAGAAACCGUGGCUGGAUGGCGGCAUUUGUGCAAAACUGAAAGCGCGAACCACCACAUUUAACCAUAGAAAGAGGUCUGGGAAUAUGGCUGAAUAUAAACAAUGCAGUUAUUCCCUCCGCAAGGCAAUCAAACAAGCGAAAUGCCGGUACAGGGACAAAGAUGAGUUGCAAUUCAACGGCUCAGACAGAAGACGUAUGUGGCAGGGCCUACAGGAAAUCAUGGACUGCAAAAAGAAAACCAGCUCUGUCACGGACACCGACGUCAUGCUUCCAGACAAACUAAACACCUUCGUUGCCCGCUUUGAGGAUAUACAGUGCCAACGUUGAGGCCCGCUAUCAAGGACUGAGCCCCCCCUUUCCUUCUCUGUGGCCGACGUGAGUAAAACAUUUAAACGUGUUAACCCUGCUGGCACAGACGGCAUCCUUAGCCGCGUUUUCAGAGCAUGGGCAGACCAGCUGGCUGGUGUGUUUACAGACAUAUUCAAUUGCUCCCUGUCCCAGUCUGCUGUCCCCACAUGCUUCAAGAUGGCCACCAUUGUUCCUGUACCCAAGAAGGCAAAGAUAACUGAACAAAAUGACUACUGCUCCGUAGCACUCACUUCUGUCAUCAUGACGUGCUGAGAGACUAGUCAAGGAUCAUAUCACCUCCACCUUACCUGUCACCCUAGACCCACUUCAGUUUGCAUACCACCCAAAUAGGUCCACAGACAAUGCAAUUGCCAUCACACUGCACACUGCACACUGCACACUGCACACUGCCCUAUCCCAUCUGAACAAGAGGAAUACCUAUGUAAGAAUGCUGUUCAUUGACUACAGCUCAGCAUUCAACACCAUAGUACCAUUCAAGCUCAUCAUCAAGCUGGAGGCCCUGGGUCUCAACCCCUGUGCAUUUGGGUCCUGGACGUUCUGACGGGCCUCCCCCAGGUGGUGAAGGUAGGAAACAACAUCUCCACUUCGCUGACCGUCUUACGGGCACUCGGAGUGUAGUGUCAGGAAAACAACUUCUCACUCAACGUCAACAAAACAAAGGAGAUGAUCGUGGACUUCAGGAAACAGCAGAGGGAGCAUCCCCCUAUCCACAUCGAAAGGACAGUAGUGGAGAAGGUAGAAAGUUUUAAGUUCCUCAGCGUACACAUCACAGACAAACUGAAAUGGUCCACCCACACAGACAGUGUGGUGAAGAAGGCGCCACAGCAUCUCUUCAACCUCAGGAGGCUGAAGAAAUUUGGCUUGUCAUCCAACACCCUGACAAACUUUUACAGAUACACAAUCGAGAGCAUCCUGUCGGGCUGGUAGUGAGGUCUGCACAACUCAUCACCGGGGCAAACUACCUGCCCUCCAUGACUCCUACAGCGCCCAAUGUCACAGGAAGGCCAAAAAGAUCAUCAAGGACAUCAACCACCUGAGCCACUGCCUGUUCACCCCGCUAUCAUCCAGAAGGCGAGGUCAGUACAGGUGCAUCAAAGCAGGGACCGAGAGACUAAAAAACAGCUUCUAUCUCAAGGCCAUCAGACUGCUAAACAGCAAUGACUAACUCAGAGAGGCUGCUGCCUACAUUGAGACCCAAUCACUGGCCACUUUAACAAUGGAUCACGAGCCACUUUAAAUAAUGGCAGUUUAAUAAUGUUAACAUAUCUUACAUUACUCAUAUCACAUGUACACACUGUAUUCUAUACCAUCUAUUGCACGUUGUCUCUGCCGCUCGGCUAUCGCUCAUCCACAUAUUUAUAUGUGCAUAUUCUCAUUCACCCCUUUUUUGUAUUAGGUAGUUGUUUGGGAAUUGUUAGAUUACUUGUUAGAUAUUACUGCACAAGCAUUUCGCAUUAACAUCUGCUAACCAUGUGUAUGUGACCAAUAAAAUUGGACUUGAUUCAUACAGUACACAUGUCAGUCUUACAGUUUCAUUCUCCUUGUACAGUACAUAUGUCAGUCUUACAGUUUCAUUCUCCUUGUACAGUACAUAUGUCAGUCUUAAUGUUUCAUUCUCCUUGUACAGUACAUAUGUCAGUCUUAAUGUUUCAUUCUCCUUGUACAGUACAUAUGUCAGUCUUAAUGUUUCAUUCUCCUUGUACAGUACAUAUGUCAGUCUUAAUGUUUCAUUCUCCUUGUACAGUACAUAUGUCAGUCUUAAUGUUUCAUUCUCCUUGUACAGUACAUAUGUCAGUCUUACUGUUUCAUUCUCCUUGUACAGUACAUAUGUCAGUCUUAAUGUCUCAUUCUCCUUGUACAGUACAUAUGUCAGUCUUACUGUUUCAUUCUCCUUGUACAGUACAUGUGUAGAUGAUCAGAUAUAUGGGGUAUUGUAAUGCAGUAGGAUACAGUUAUAACGUCCUGGUGUAGUCUGUAGUCUGGUGUAGCUAUUUCUGCCCCAUGCAACACUGUUUUCCUGUGUGAGUCGUCAACUGAUAUGGUAUCGCCUGUCUCUCCGCUUGAAAUUCAUCAGUGUAUCAAUGAAAUCUGGAUAAUGAGUAGAAUAUAUUGUUGUAUUCAACUCGGGUAUAAAUAUAUUGUUAUAUACAACCCAGGUAUAAAUAUAUUGUAAUAUACAACUCAGGUAUAAACAUAUUGUAUACAACUCAGGUAUAAAUAUAUUGUAAUAUACAACUCAGGUGUAAAUAUAUUGUAAUGUACAACCCAGGUAUAUAUUGUAAUGUACAACCCAGGUAUUUCAGCAGUGCAUUGUACAGCACAGUGUAAUUCCGAAUGGAAGCACUUCCAGUGACUCUCCACGUUGUCCAAUUGAAGCACCCUGGCUGAUGGAGAAUGAUGAUGUAGUAUUUACAGACACAUACAUAUAGUAUUUGAUUUUAAAUUCCAACAUAAAUUGAUGUGAAUUGAUACAUUUAUGUACAUUCAUUUUACAGUGUUCAGCAGUUAUGAAACUAUAUAGGUAAGCUAAGCAUUACUCCAUUUUGGUUCAGUAGUUAUCCGUUUUGAGCAGUUUGAUUAAGCGAUAGACAAAUGUAUUGUUAACAAGUGACAAGAAAAUCAUAUCAAAAGUAAAGUGAAUAUUGCAUUUUGAAAGGCAGAUACUUGAAGACUUGAACAUGUGUGCAAACUGAAAGAGGGGUUUGCUGCAGUGAACAAGUGACUGUGAAUUUGUUUGUCGUACUCAGUCCAUUGAACAUGUGCUUAGAGUUUUGACCACGUGACAGUUUGAUGAUCUGUUUAGAGUCUUGUACUAAGAGUUGUGAAAAUUGCACCAAAGUGCAAAAAAUUAAGACUGUAAAUUGUCUUUUCAAAUGUUUUAUGACUUUUAAUGGAAGAAUUGUUAUCAAUACUGAAACAAUAUAAAAUGUAAUGCUACAUCUCGUGUGUUAAUAAAGUUGCG
ensembl:lncRNA